UACGACUACAUAUCAGGCAUAUCAAUAAGCGGAGGAAAAGAAACUAACUAGGAUUCCCUUAGUAACGGCGAGUGAAGCGGGAAGAGCUCAAAUUUGAAAUCUUCAAGGUUCUACCUUGACGAAUUGUAGUUUAAAGAAGUGUUUUCUGUUGGUGUUCUGGUAAAAGUUCUUUGGAAUAGGACAUCAUAGAGGGUGAGAAUCCCGUAUUUGACCAUUACUUCCAGCGUUGUGAUACACUUUCAAAGAGUCGGAUUGUUUGGGAAUGCAGUCCAAAAUGGGUGGUAAAUUUCAUCUAAAGCUAAAUAUUGGCGAGAGACCGAUAGCGAACAAGUACCGUGAGGGAAAGAUGAAAAGAACUUUGAAAAGAGAGUUAAACAGUACGUGAAAUUGUCAAAAGGGAAGCGUUUGACACCAGUGUUGUUUUCUCGAAAAUCAAUUAAAAAUGACCGGAUUUUGUGUUGUAUUGACUUUAUCAGCUUUCUGCACUUUUUUCUUGUCUUUUUUAAUGCACUUUUCGUUUAACAAGUCAACAUCAAUUUCUUUUGUUGUAAAAGAGUCAUUGGAAGGUGGCUUUCACUUCGGUGAAAGUGUUUAUAGCCUUUGACUUCUGCAAUCGGAGAGAUUGAGGUCUGCAGCGUAGAUCCUUCGGGGUUAGAUACAUUAGAUGCUAAUGUUAUAGUUUUUCAUAGACAACAUUGUUGACUAUGAUUAAUCAUGUAGCUUACUUGUUUGCGCUAUUUUACCUACGCUUAGGAUGUUGACGCGCGUGUGUGCGUG
rnacentral:rRNA from 1 species